AUUGAACGCUGGCGGCAUGCCUUACACAUGCAAGUCGAACGGUAACAGGUCUUCGGAUGCUGACGAGUGGCGAACGGGUGAGUAAUACAUCGGAACGUGCCCGAGAGUGGGGGAUAACGAGGCGAAAGCUUUGCUAAUACCGCAUACGAUCUCAGGAUGAAAGCAGGGGACCGCAAGGCCUUGCGCUCACGGAGCGGCCGAUGGCAGAUUAGGUAGUUGGUGGGAUAAAAGCUCACCAAGCCGACGAUCUGUAGCUGGUCUGAGAGGACGACCAGCCACACUGGGACUGAGACACGGCCCAGACUCCUACGGGAGGCAGCAGUGGGGAAUUUUGGACAAUGGGCGCAAGCCUGAUCCAGCCAUGCCGCGUGCAGGAUGAAGGCCUUCGGGUUGUAAACUGCUUUUGUACGGAACGAAAAGACUCUGGUUAAUACCUGGGGUCCAUGACGGUACCGUAAGAAUAAGCACCGGCUAACUACGUGCCAGCCGCCGCAGUAA
rnacentral:rRNA from 1 species